CACCAUUCUGAGAUUCGCUCUGGCUCUUGUCAAGGCUGGUGCCCACCACCCUCAGGCUGUGCUAAGAGACAGAAGGCAAGUGGAGGGCCCAGCCAGCUACCAGUCGCUGUGUGGCCUGCUUUGGUUAACUCCUUCCAGGCAACCAGGGUGACGAUAGGUGACCCACAUGGGGAGCAGGCAGAGAAGACAGAACCCCCUGGUCUUUCCGUCACGAAACGAGACAUCUUGAACCCUGUUACACAGUCCGUGUGGAUGCAGUCUGCCUCACUCAGGCUUAGGAAAGCAGCUACUGCUCCAGUACCCUGACUGUGCAAGGCUGAGGACCCCAGAGCUCACAGCCUCCAAUUCACAGCUUCCCAGAAUACUGUGACGGAGACUUUUCACACAUGCUCUGAGGCUCCUGCCAUCUGGGAGGGUGAAGCCCCUUCCACCUUGAAUUCUCUCUGGGGUGAUCACAAGGAGAUCAGUAAACAAAUGGAACCCCCUCUCCUCUUCUCGGGGGUGAGGGGGUGGGGAGGCCCAUGGCAUGUGUAACUUCCGGGCCAGAGAUCAAACCUGUGCCACUGCAAUGACAACACCAGAUCUUUAACCCACUGUGCCACAAGGGAACGCCAGUGCUGCACAGUUUAAAGUCUCAACAACUAUGGGUGGAAAUCACUGACUUAUUCGGCUGGCACCAGCCUUGCAGUCUCUCCAAAUACACUGCCCACUGCACAACUGCACCCCUUUGCUCAAGCCCUAAAAUGCUCUGUAAUGCUACACCCAAACCAACUCUAUUUAUUUUUUUAAUUUUUUGGCCACACCCAUGGCAUGUGUUCCUGGGCCAAGGAUCAAACCCUUGCCACAGCAGCAACCCAAGCCACUGCAGUGACAAUGCCAGAUCCUUACCCUACUCUGCCCCAAGGGCACUUGAACUCCAGGGCUGCACAUCUCCCCACUUCAUUCACUAAUCCUCUGGCUCCUGCCCUGGGAAUGCAGCAACGAACAAACCCAGCCACCAGCUGAGUCUGAGGUGGUGCUAGCGGGAGCUCAGGCACUGUAACUGGGGCCUAUGAGCCAAGUGCAAAAGAAACUAGAAGACAAGGAGAGGCCAGAGGAGGUUUUUCCGGAGAAGUUCAAGGGACGCCCCCACCCCAGGCCAGCCCGCCGAGCCUCUUUCCCCAGGACCUAUGGUCUUCACCCCCACGCGCCCAGCACCCCCCCACUUCAGCAGACCUUGAGUGGUUUACAGAGAGAAUCUCUUCACUGUCACCCACUACAGGAGACUCGCAGCUGGCCUAGAGCAUGACAUCCCACAGCCCUCAGGAGACCCACGUCCUGGAGCCGCAGGUGCUUCCACCUACGAAUGGCACAAAUGCGUCCCAAAGGAACCCCCACCGGAGAUGAAGACGGGCCGCCUGGCGUGAACAGGAGGAGGAGGCACCCCGACAGCCCCUUAGGACCCACAAGACUAGAUCACAUCCCAGGCCCAGUCCACCCAACUUCCUGGAUUCUUUUUUUUCUUUUUCUUUUUCUGUAUUUUCUAGGGCCACACAUCUUUUUUUUCUAAUAGUAAGUUUUUAAAAUUAUAGUUGAUUUACAGUGUUCUGUCGAUUUCUGCUGUUCGGCAAAGUGGCCCGGUCAUACACAUAUGCAUUCUUUUUCUCACAUUCUCCUCCAUCGGGCUCCAUCACGAGUGCCUGGAUACAGGUCCCUGUGCUGUACAGCAGGAUCUCACUGCUUACCCACUCCCAACACAACAGUCUGCAUGCAGUAACUCCAAACUCCAGUCCUUUCCACCCCCUCGGCAACCACAAGUCUGUUCUUCGUGUCCAUGUGUGUGUUUCUUUUCUGUAAAUAGGUUCAUUUGUGCCAUAUUUUAGAUUCCACAUAUAAGUGAUAUCAUAUGGUGUUUGUCUUUCUCUUUCUUACUUCACUCAGUAUGAGUCUCUAGUUCCAUCCAUGUUGCUGCAAAUAGCAUUAUUUUGAUCUUUUUUAUGGCUGAGUAGUACAAAUUUCCUGGAUUCUAAUGCACGCAUUUAUGUUUCUUUUUAUUUUUUUGGUCUUUUUAGGGCUGUGCCCACAGCAUAUGGAAGCCUCCCCCCUUUUGGUCUUUAUGUCUUUUAAAUUUAUUUUAUUGAAGUACAACUGAUUUACAAUGUCGUGUUGGCUUGCGGAGCAGAGCAAAGUGAUUCAGGUAUACAUAUAUAGAAUAGUUUGCACCUGCAAAUCCCAAACUCCCAAUCCACCCCCACCCCCACCCUGUUUAGGUUUCUAAUCCCAAGAAGCACCUUAUGUUUGAAUGCACAUCCGUGAUACAGCUUUGAAGGGGAAAAAUGGUCUAUCUCAAUGGCAUCUUUUAGAAUUGAGAAGAAUCUGAUAAAGAUGUCACUGACAGAUGAGAACUCUGUCUGCUGAGGAAAGGGAAAUAACUCAAUGCACAUACCUUGGUUGCUCCCUAAGCCCCUUGCCUCCUACUUGUCCUAGCUAUCCAGGAGGCUGCCCGCCCCGCUCUCUGAGACCAGCCUCCUGCAGGCCCAGCUGCUGCUUCCCCAUUCUCUAGGCUCUUCCAUGCCCUCCCCCCGUGACCAAAAAACCACAACAGCAAUUUGUUCCAACUCUUUUUCCUUUGGGGGAUAGUAAGAGUCAGUGGUCAGAGAACAUAAAGGUAAAAAAAAGAAAGAAAAAGAAGAAGGAGUGCCUGUUGCGGCUCAGUGGUAACAAACCUGACUUGUAUCCAUAAGGAUGUGGGUUCAAUUCCUGGCCUUGCCCAGUGGGUUAAGGAUCCAGCAUUGCCAUGGCUGUGGUGUAGGCCGGCAGCUGCAGCUCCAAUUUGACCCCUAGCCUGGGAACGUCCAUGUGCCACAGGUGUGACCCUAAAAAAAAAGAGGGUUGAAAGGUUGGCCUUAGGGAAAUCUGCCAGGGGGCUGGAUUUCACCAGAAAAUGGAGAUGGGAAGAUGGGGGUGGGGCAGGCAGCCCCCGCAGAUACUGGGGGACAUGGAAGUGCACUGUGUGGACAGAGAGGCUUGGAGUCAUGGGAAAGGUGGCCCUCACCAACUACAAAGGGUUCUGGAUCAUGCAGGUAAGAGAGUCCAUUAGAACAGUAAAACCAACAAGAGCCAAAACUUAGAGGGCACUUCUGUGUACAAGACACUAAGCGUGAUUUCCAAAUACUGUCUCAUGUAGCCCUCCCGUCACCCAACAAGGAGGCAGGUGCUUUCACGGUCAGCAAUGCACACACAAGGGAGCUAAGGAUGACCAGAGCUAGUUACAUAACUUGCCCAGGUUCUACAACUAGUAGUCAUUGGAGCCUGGAUUUAAACAAGGACGGUCUGACCCCAGGACUCCCAGUCUUAAACAAACACUAUGCCGGAAUCAGGCGUGUUAAUUUCAGAAACAAUACGGAACACGGGUGUUUUCCAGGUUUCUCAAACUCACUGUGUCCAGGAAGAAACUCCCUCCAACACACCAGCACUCCGUCUUGGCGAAUGGCCCCACCACCCAUUGGUUUUCACGGCAAACCUUCCAGUCAAUACGCCUUCACUUGAUAUAAGUGCCACACAGGGGGCCCAUCAACUUUGUACCCAGCUAAUCCCUUGCCCAAAGCAAAGGCUCAUACUCACUGAAGGAGUAAAUGACUCAGAGGUGAGAGACGGGUGGUUAAUGCUAUCCCUCUCACUAAGGAAAGACCUGGAGUAGAGAAUGGCACUGGGAACGGUCAGGAAGGCCAAACCCCAGGAAUUGCUAAAGCCCUGAUAGGAGGCUGAGGGGAGAGCGAGCCACGCCAAGGUGUUAACUUUUCACAAAUGCUGCAUGUGGGGUACCCAGGUCCAAAGGCAGCCAAAAAACUCAAGAGGACAGAGAACUAGGAGGAGGUAGAGAUUUUGGAAUCUGCUAAAAUUUGGAGAGUCAGGUAGAAAAAGAGAAGCCUUUAUCAUGCUAAGUGAAGUCAGUCAGACAAUGAGACACCAACAUCAAAGGCUCUCACUGACAUGUGGAAUCUGAAAAAAGGGCACAAUGAACUUCUUCCCAGAACAGAUCCUGACUCACAGACCUGGAAAAACUUAUGGUCUCCAAAGGAGACAGCUUGGGGGGUGGGGGGAUGUGCUGGGAUUGUGGGAUGGAAAUGCUAUAAAAUCCGGGUGUGAAGUUCCCGUCAUGGCUCAGUGGUUAAUGAACCCGACUAAGAACCAUGAGGUUGCAGGUUCAAUCCCGGGCCUCGCUCAGUGGGUUAAGGAUCCGGCAUUGCCGUGAGCUGCAGUGUAUGUAGGUCAAAGAUGAGGCUCGGAUCCCAUGUUGCUGGGGCUCUGGCGUAGGCCGUCGGCUACAGCUCCAUUUAGACCCCUAGCCUGAGAACCUCCAUAUGCCUCGGGUGCAGCCGUAGAAAAGACAAAAAGACAAAAAUAAAAUUAAAAAAUAAAUUGGAUUGUGAUGAUCAUUGUACAACUAUAAAUGUAAUAAAUUCAUUGAGUAAUAAAAAAAUUUAAAAAAA
rnacentral:lncRNA from 1 species